CAGGUGUGUCUCACCUGUCCCAGGUGUAUCUCAGGUGUGUCUCAGGUGUGUCUCACCUGUCUCAGGUGUGUCUCACCUGUCCCACCUGCAGCUCCUGUGACCUGAAGCACACCGAGGGGGUUCAGUCCCUGUCCCACCUGUGUUAUAUCCGUGUUACCUGUCCAUGUCUCAGGUGUUUUACCUGUCUCAGGUGUAUCUCAGGUGUGUCUCAGGUGUGUCUCAGGUGUGUCUCACCUGUCCCAGGUGUGUCUCAGGUGUAUCUCAGGUGUGUCUCAGGUGUGUCUCACCUGUCUCACCUGCAGCUCCUGUGACCUCAAGCACACCGAGGGCGUUCAGUCCCUGUCUCACCUGUGUUAUAUCCGUGUCACCUGUCCAUGUCUCAGGUGUUUUACCUGUCCCAGGUGUGUCCCAGGUGUAUCUCAGGUGUGUUUUACCUGUCUCACCUGUCCCACCUGCAGCUCCUGUGACCUGAAGCACACCGAGGGGGUUCAGUCCCUGUCUCACCUGUGUUAUAUCUGUGUUACCUGUCCGUGUCUCACCUGUCCCAGGUGUGUCUCAGGUGUGUCUCAGGUGUGUCUCACCUGUCUCAGGUGUGUCUCACCUGUCCCACCUGCAGCUCCUGUGACCUGAAGUACACCGAGGGCGUUCAGUCCCUGUCUCACCUGUGUUGUAUCUGUGUUACCUGUCCAUGUCUCACCUGUCCCAGGUGUUUUACCUGUCCCAGGUGUGUCUCACCUGUCCCAGGUGUAUCUCAGGUGUGUCUCACCUGUCUCAGGUGUAUCUCAGGUGUGUCUCACCUGUCCCAGGUGUUUUACCUGUCCCAGGUGUGUCUCACCUGUCCCAGGUGUAUCUCAGGUGUGUCUCACCUGUCUCAGGUGUGUCCCAGGUGUGUCUCAGGUGUGUCUCAGGUGUGUCUCACCUGUCCCACCUGCAGCUCCUGUGACCUGAAGUACACCGAGGGCGUUCAGUCCCUGUCCCACCUGUGUUAUAUCCGUGUCACCUGUCCAUGUCUCAGGUGUUUUACCUGUCCCAGGUGUAUCUCAGGUGUGUCUCACCUGUCUCAGGUGUGUUUUACCUGUCCCACCUGCAGCUCGUGUGACCUGAAGUACACCGAGGGCGUUCAGUCCCUGUCUCACCUGUGUUAUAUCCGUGUUACCUGUCCGUGUCUCAGGUGUUUUACCUGUCCCAGGUGUGUCUCACCUGUCCCACCUGCAGCUCCUGUGACCUGAAGUACACCGAGGGCGUUCAGUCGCUCAACUGGACCAAGAUCAUGAAGACCAUCGUGGACGACCCCGAGGGCUUCUUCGAGCAGGGGGGGUGGAGCUUCCUGGAGCCCGAGGGGGAGGUACCUGAGCACACCUGGGGGCACACCUGGGCACACCUGGGGGCACCUGGGAUACACCUGGG
rnacentral:lncRNA from 1 species